GUUUUCCCCUUUCUCAAAUACUCAAUUCACUCAUCCCGAAUAGUGUUUUGGUGCCCACCAAUAUCUUUAAAAACCUUAGGGUAAUUGAUUAUUGCUUUUUGAUAUUGGCGCUUCAUGAAAUUAAUGAUUAGGUGCAGUGACGGUGUGAGGAGUACAGUGUGCGAGAGGUACAGUGUCUGUGUGUGGGGUGCAGUGUGCAUGAGGGCUGCAAUGUCUGUGUGAGCGGUACAGUGUCUGUGUGUGGGGUGCAGUGUGCAUGAGGGCUGCAAUGUCUGUGCGAGUAGUACAGUGUCUGUGUGUGGGGUGCAGUGUGCAUGAGGGCUGCAAUGUCUGUGCGAGUAGUACAGUGUCUGUGUGUGGGAGGCAGUGUGCAUGAGGGCUGCAAUGUCUGUGCGAGCGGUACAGUGUCUGUGUGUGGGAGGCAGUGUGCAUGAGGGCUGCAAUGUCUGUGCGAGUGGUACAGUGUCUGUAUGUGGGGUGCAGUGUGCAUGAGGGCUGCAAUGUCUGUGUGGUACAGUGUCUGUAUGUGGGGUGCAGUGUGCAUGAGGGCUGCAAUGUC